GCCAGGUGACGUCCUAAGGAGCAAAGAUUUCAAAAGCCCACGGUGGCAUUCAGCAAUGCCAGAGGCCUGUGAUCGAGGUGAAAGUUCAUGGAGGUCCUGUUGGAGAGCCCAGUGCUAUGUUAUGUGGACAGUAACAGGAGAUCCUGGAUCUGAGGAUCUGAGUCAUGGCGUCAGGAGGCCUUGCUGGCGGCCUUCGAUGUGGUGGAAAGGAGCUUCCUGGAGUCCAUCGACGACGCGUUGGCUGAGAAGGCGAGCCUCCAGUCCCAGCUGCCAGAGGGUGUCCCUCAGCACCAGCUGCCUCCUCAGUAUCAGAAGAUUCUCGAAAGACUCAAGGUACUGGAGAGGGAGAUUUCGGGAGGAGCCAUGGCUGUCGUGGCGGUCCUGCUCAACAACAAGCUCUACGUCGCCAAUGUCGGUGAGCCGCCUACCUGUCCCAGGGCGGGGAGUGCUGGGCGAGAGAUCAGCCUCAAGGUCUGUGUGUUCUUUGGGCAGUCUGCUUCCCAGACAUGUAAGCCCUCCAGCCCGUGUCUCCUGAGGCCCCGGGGUCCGUUUCCCUAUUUCUGCACAGGAAUGCCCCAGUCCCAGUGCGGGGAGUUAGCGGUACCGGCUAGGAGGCAGGCCUCCCGGCUGUGGUCCCCACUCUGCCCCAACUGGCUAUGGGCGAGUUGUGUCCCCUCUCUGGGUCACCUCAGUGGCUUCCUCUUCUGGAAGAGGUUGCCUGGCUGUGGAAGACCCACUCGGCAUCCCAGGAGGGGUGGCGAGAUGGGCUGGGUGAGGGGCCAUAAGGAUAUUUGGAUUUGUGGGCAAAGAAGAGACCAUCUGGGAACCCAAGGUCUUACCCACAGGGUGCAGAUUACUGUAGGAGUGGUGUAGAGACCUCACUGAUAAUGUCCCUCUUUUCCUUAAGAUUUCAUUGUGGACAGAACUCAAAAAUGUGAAAAGAUAGGGUGAAAAGCAGGGAGUGAACACCCGUGUGCCCAUCCCCCAGCCCCAACAGUCACCUCCUCGAGACCAGUCUCAUUUCUUCUCCAGCCCUUUGUGCCCGUGAACCCCAGACAUCAUGUCAUGUUAUCUCUUUGUAAAUAGUUUAGUACGUCUCUCUAGAGAAAAGGUCUCCUAGUAAAAUCAUAAUUAUCCUAGGAUGACACUGGGAAAGUUUAACCUAAUUCCUUAAUAUCAUCAGCAUGCCCUGACUGGUGACUCACCCCAGUGGUCUAAGCGUCUU